rnacentral:sRNA from 1 species
UUUUUGCUCCUGCCCUUGGCUGGGCCUGAAGAUUUCUCCGAGGAAGAGAUGGAACGUGAGUGGCUAGUGUGGAGCCUCAGAGUUGGCCGGAGAGGAGGGAGGCCAGUGGAGGGAGAGAGAGGUGUCCAGGCCCCAGGCUCCUGAAACUUUGCAGCAGUGAGUUGCUGAGCACAGGCUGCCCAGCCCAGGGACACAGUGGCUCCCACACACUCACCCCUAGGGCUGCCUGUCGACCUGCAGUACCUGCCACCAGACAAGCAGCGAGAACCUGAUGCAGACAUCCGCAAGAUGCUUGUUGAAGCCAUCAUGCUGCUGACAGCCACAGCACCAGGUCGGCAGCAGGUGCGGGACCAGGGAGCCUACCUGAUCCUUCGAGAGCUGCACAGCUGGGAGCCGGAGCCCGACGUGCGGACGGCUUGUGAGAAGCUCAUCCAGGUUGGUGCAGGGUUGGAGAGGCUGGGGAAGGGGUGUCUGUAGCUGGCCAGCUGCUCACCUGCCUCCCGUCUGGCAGGUGCUUAUUGGGGACGAGCCCGAACGUGGCAUGGAAAACCUGUUGGAGGUGCAGGUGCCUGAGGAUGUGGAGCAGCAGCUGCAGCAGCUGGAUUGCCGGGAGCAGGAGCAGUUGGAGCAGGAGCAGUUGGAGCGGGAGCUGGCCCCAGAGCCAUGGGUGGAGAGGGCCACACCCACCUGAGGCCCCUGCAGCCGGACACCAGCUCCAGGGUCCCCUUUGCCAGGCUUCCUCAGACCAGGCCUUCCUGCAGCUGUCUACAGGCCCCCUGGGUCCCCUUGUUCAGAGACUGUGCUCUUCUGAGAAGCAGAGUUACGCUUAGGCUCCAGUAAGGAUUGGAGGCACGUCCCAGCCCUGUGCAGUGUUGCUACCAGCAAGAAUGAAGGUUGUGCAGAGCAGUACUGUGAGGUAGGCACCGUGACUCGGCUGCCUGUGCAGAAGGUGGAGGUGGCAGGCGGAUGGCCAGGGAGCCAUGAGAAGACUCUUCCUGGGCACGGCAUGGGGACUGGACAGAAAACCACCGCAAGCCCCAAGGAGCCAGCUGAAGCCUCCCAAUCCCCAGGGCACUGCAGAGUCUGGGCAGAGGUGGGCACAUAGGUACAAGUGCUGCUUUGUCAGCCUCACUCCCUGCAGCUCUCAGCUCCCUGUUCCCUGAGACCUGGCCUCAAAGGGCUGACCCAGCCAUACGUAGAUCCUGGGGUUUUUCUAGGACUGUGCCUCCCUGCUUGACCUAUGCUCCAGGACCCUGCCCUCAACCCUUGUCAGCUUCCUAAGUCUUCCUGUUUCCCAGUCUCAGAUUGAGUGGGUGCUCUCAUUGGCCUCUCUAGCUAGGCCAUCUCCCUGGUCAGCUUCCUUGAGCCUGGGCCACUCCUCCCUGGCCUUCUUACCUCUGCCAAGAGCCUCCAGAUGUGCCUGCAGCCUGGUCCCUGCCCAAGCUUCUCCCCCAGCCACCCUCUGCCCCUGUGGUAGAGCCCACUAUAGGCCCAGGCGCCUUACGUGCUUCUCCCCUGGACCUAUGUGCAUCCCUCACCUGAUAGUUAUGUGGCUGCCAAGCCCCACAGGCUGUCAUGGUGGCUCUUGCCACACUCUUCCCUUCCUGAGCUGACCUGACCUCACUGCCACCUCCUGCAUUGGGAUCCUGAGGGCUGGCCCCUGCUCACUGAUGGGCCCUCCCAGGUCCCUCGAGCCCUGGUGAAGGAGCUUAGCUUGUCUUCUUGGCAAUUCACAAUGCCUCACUCCACACCCUAAAACUGGAGCGUCCCCUGUGGUCUCCUGCUGUGGCUUGGGUGCCGGGCGUCUCCCGCCUCCAGGAUCUCCUCUCACCUGCCCCCAUUAAAGCUCUGCCA